rnacentral:lncRNA from 1 species
CUUUCCUCUGUAAUGGAACAGGUCCAGAAGAGCCAUGUGGGCUGACACAGUAAGGCCUCCAGGCAUCUGUGCCGUGACGUGAGCAAAGUGUGAGCUGCAUGGUGGGAUAUGCCAUGCCUUGCCUAGGGGCCCGGGCACUGCCAUCACAGGGAGGCUUGGCCACCAACCGACAUGGCUGCCCCAGGUGGGAAGGGUCGGAUGGAGGACUCUGCCACCCACUCUUGGGAAACACCCCCAAAAUGAACGAAGGAAUGACCUCUGUCCUGUUUUAGCAUCCCGGGAGACACACUGUGGCCUAGGAUCCUGCCCGGCUGCAGGGCUCUGGAUGGGGCGUGACAUCCUGCCCCCGAGGGUGUGGCGGGGAGUCGAUGUCACACAGCUGAGCCACAGGGCCCAGGGAUGUGGUGAAAGCUUUCCCCAGGUCCCAAGUGCCCACAGCCCCUGCCCCAUCCAAGACCCAGAAAUGCAGCUCACUCUAGCCCUUCAGUGCGGGCCCGCUCUCAAGCCUGUCCGUCACCUCCCAGAACUCCCACGUUCCCAAAACCCUGUGUUCCCAGUCUCUUUGGUCUCCAGAACUGUCAUUAAAGAAAGAAGGGGCUAGGCACAGUGGCUCGUCCUCCCAAAGUGUUGGGAUUACAGGCAUGAGCCACAACACCCAGCCUGAAUAAUGCUUUUAACCAGUUGAAUGUUGCCUUCUCUAAUACUACCUAUGACCUGCCCCUCCCCAAUACUGAGCCCAUAAAAGCCCUGGACUCAGCCACAUUGAGGGGACUUUCCUGCCUUUAAGUAGGGGGACCACCCCCAAAUCGCCUCUCUGUUGAAAACUGUUUUAUCACUCAAUAAACCCCCCACCUAUUGUAUCACUCAAUAAAAUCUCCACCCUCA